UACGAAGGGGGCUAGCGUUGCUCGGAAUCACUGGGCGUAAAGGGCGUGUAGGCGGGUAGAUAAGUCGGGCGUGAAAUCCCUAGGCUCAACCUAGGAACUGCCCUCCAAACUGCUUCGCUUGAGACCGGGAGAGGUGAGUGGAAUUCCCAGUGUAGCGGUGAAAUGCGUAGAUAUUGGGAGGAACACCAGUGGCGAAGGCGGCUCACUGGACCGGUACUGACGCUGAGGAGCGAAAGCGUGGGGAGCGAACAGGA
rnacentral:rRNA from 1 species